CUGGUUGAGGCAGCUGGCAUACUGCGGUCAGUUAAGGUGGUAUCUUUGAAAUCACAUGGUCCUUAGAGAAGCAGUGCCAUGUUGAAAGGGCAUUAGACAGGCCUGG
rnacentral:miRNA from 1 species